CUCACUGUAUAAUACUUAGUUUGGACUUCGCCUGUUAAGUCACUGGAAACAGAUAAAGUCCAAACUAAGUAUUAUACAGUGAG
rnacentral:pre_miRNA from 1 species